AUGGUGGCCUUGGAGAUGUCUAGAAGAUUUAGCAUUAGCCAUAAUAUAAAUAACAAAGCACACCACAGCAAAGAGGAGGACCAUGUUAGAUCUCUACCCUCCAUGGCCGCACAAACUGAAAAUGGGUUUUUACAUCUGAAACAGUACCUCAAAGAGAUGUCCUCCAUGAGACAAGCUUUGAACACAGGCCGUCCCUUGGUAAUUUGCUUGAGGGACCAGGAUAGACUUCCACUCCUACCAAAGAAAACCUCACCCAGAUCUACUAAUGACAAGAUUGCUGCAGAUAUAGAAUGCACCAUGUCAAUAAAGCAGCAUGCUCCAGCAGAAGAGGAAAUAUUAAGAAGGAUAAAAUUCAGGAGGGACGAGCACAUAAUAGAGAAGCUUCAGUGGAUCUACAAGAUACUUUGUGGCUUAACCAACAUGAGGAAUAGAGACGUGAAAACACUGUUGCCUCUUACAAGUGGGUAUGUGAACAUCAUCAUGAAAGACACAGAUAAAACCAAUGUUCUUUUGAAGAACUCUCAGAGGUGUCUGAUUCCAUUUGCACCUGACAUGAACAUCAACCCAGACUUGUGGGAGUCAUUCAUCAAUCACCAAGACCAAGAGCCAAAAUCACCCUCCGCUAAGUUUGCUGGUUGUAAGCCUGUCCAGUUAGGACUCAGAAGGAAGGCAGGUCUAAAGGAGGUAGAGAAUGAAACUGGGGACCUACCUCCUUGGCUGAACCUGCUCUUGGAUGAGAACACCACAUAUGAGAAGGAUCCUCAGAAACCAAAGAACAGACAUGAUAUGCUGGAACGUGUCAGAACAAAGUCCAUCGAAAUCCAGAGAUCUAUGAACAAUCAGAUGGAGACAGACAUGUUUGAGAAGAAAAUACACAGAGAGGAGAGAAUGAGGACUCUCCUGGAUGCAUUGAUGGCCUCAAGGAAGGAGACAAGUCUACCUAUGCUUCUCUCCUCCCUAAAACAUGAGCUCAGGGAACCAAAAUCUGCGCUUUUAUUUUGGUACGAAAUCCUGAAGAGCGAUGUCUCAGAACUGUCCGAUGACAGGGACUUUGAGUACAGGACCAUCCUGCAGAAGAUCGGCCAAUUCCACAAUUUAUCUCACAAGAAGUUGCCCUACUUUAAGGAGAAAUUUUGUCUCCUUGUUCUCUCUCUGCCAUCGAAUCAGCUUCUGCAACCAGCCAUGCAAGAUGCUCUGAUGUUCCUCACUGAGAACGUCUUCCAGCUCCUACCCCAACAACUCAAGCACUGGUAUCAGUAUCUCAAACUGCCCUUUUAUGACGCCUCCUGA
rnacentral:lncRNA from 1 species